CCGGCACGGGUGAGUAACACGUAUCCAACCUGCCGUCUACUCUUGGACAGCCUUCUGAAGGAAGAUUAAUACAAGAUGGCAUCAUGAGUCCACAUGUUCACAUGAUUAAAGGUAUUCCGGUAGACGAUGGGGAUGCGUUCCAUUAGAUAGUAGGCGGGGUAACGGCCCACCUAGUCUUCGAUGGAUAGGGGUUCUGAGAGGAAGGUCCCCCACAUUGGAACUGAGACACGGUCCAA
rnacentral:rRNA from 1 species